AUGUUACAGUCGCCAACGCAGCACCUCUUACUCCUAAACCAAGCGGAAAGACAAAUAUGGCAUCAAGUAUUGCAUUUACUAGGUUACCAACACCUGCAUGCAAAACAUCCAAAUCAAGAAGAUAAUAUCUCAUGUACAUAUUGCAGCAGGAGCCUCUCCUACUGUUUCGGGGUAAAAAUAAUAUCUGAAGUGCAUAUAGGGCAUAUGUGUUCCGGAGACUUGCUUGUUACAGAUACUCAAAAUGAUAAAAAAAAUCACAUGAUUAAAUUUAUGCAAUUUAGCGACAAGAAAUUGCAAUAUCUUACCAAUAGCGUACAAAGGUGUCUUUGUAUCCAUCAACCCACGAAAUGCACCCUGUGCUGCAAGUGCUACUAUGAUAGGUGGAGCACCAUAUGCCCUAAAAGUAAGAAAUUGCUCGGCUGGUAUACGCACCGGGGAAUCCUGUUUAUAUGUAACAAAGAACAACUUAUACUCAAGAGUAAUCUGACAUAA
rnacentral:rRNA from 1 species